CGCGGUGUAGCUCAGCCUGGUAGAGCACAGGGCUCAUAACCCAGUGGUCGGCAGUUCAAAUCUGCCCAUCGCAACCA
rnacentral:tRNA from 4 species